CAUUGAAGAAAUUCCACGGAGCAAGAGGAUCCAUCACAAACUCGCCGUCUAAAUAAGAAGUACAUCGAACACUACAACUAUAUAACACGGAUUAUAUGGGAAUCUAAUAGUGAACUGAUGUUAUGCUACUGGUGAGAGAUCCACUCCAGAAUACUCAAUUAAUGAAGCCCCUAGGUAUGCUAUGCUAACAAUUAGCAAUAACAACUUGGUGCAGACCCCAAAAAAG
rnacentral:misc_RNA from 1 species